UACGGAGGGUGCGAGCGUUGUCCGGAAUCAUUGGGCGUAAAGGGCGCGUAGGCGGUCCUUUAAGUCUGAUGUGAAAGCCCACGGCUCAACCGUGGAGGGUCAUUGGAAACUGGGGGACUUGAGUGCAGGAGAGAAAAGUGGAAUUCCACGUGUAGCGGUGAAAUGCGUAGAGAUGUGGAGGAACACCAGUGGCGAAGGCGACUUUUUGGCCUGUAACUGACGCUGAGGCGCGAAAGCGUGGGGAGCAAACAGG
rnacentral:rRNA from 1 species